GGGGUUGACUGGAUUUGACGGCAAGAUGAGAUGGUACGUAAGCACGCGGAGCUGGGCUAUGGGAGGCUCCUAAAUCUCUUCUGUAGGAAAAUUAAUUGGCAACAACGAGUAUGCUCUCGCUGCCUAGUCGAAGUACAGUAGACUAUUGGCUUAAUUCCACUACAAGGUAGAGGAACGAGACGUCGCCCCAAGGGUGUUGUUCCGAAUCUGAGGACUCGGCGGCGCAGGUAAAUCGGAAAUAGUCGGCAUAGGCCUUGAUGUGCCGAUGAAGUUUUAAAGGCUAAGGUAUUGGUUGGUGGUCCAGGUCUUGCCAAUGCACGAAAAUGAAGUCUGGAAUAAGCGUGUAGAAAGCGUAUGGUUUCCUUGUUCGGACGAGGGUUCGACUCCCUCCAGCUCCACU
rnacentral:tmRNA from 1 species